CUUGCUGUCUAAUUUCACCUCCUAUAAAAUGGAGCUAAUAAGCCACAUGUGGUGGCUCACGCCUAUAAUCUCGCUGAAGUGGGCAGAUCACUUGAGGUCAGGAGUUCAAGACCAGACUGGCCAACAUGGCAAAACCCCCUCUCUACUAAAAAUACAAAAAUUAGCCAAGCGUGGUGGUGCAUGCCUGUAAUCCCAGCUACUUGAGAGGCUGAGGCGGGAAGAUCACUUGAACCUGGGAGGUGAAGGUUGCAGUGAGCCAAGAUGGCACUACUGCACUCCAGCCUGGGUGAUAGAGCAAGACUGUCUCAAGAAAAAUAAAAAAAUAAAAUAAAAUAAAUGGGGCUAAUAGUACCUACCUCCCCUUCCUUCAGGCCAACAAGAGGUGGAUGAAGAUCUAACCCUGAGCUGAAAGGGAAUCUGCUGAACAGGACUGAGGACUCAAAGACAGCAAGCAUUGUUUCCCAAACCAUCGAUUCCCGGAGCAAGCUUUGGGGCACACAAAGGUGAAAAAGAGGUUGCUGCCUGCAGUGGGUUUCCAGAUGACUUGGUGCCUUGGUCACAGCAGCAGAACCUGACAGAACUGGAAGCUGUCUGAACAGCCGCUUCCUUCUUCAUUCGCCAUCCCACUCAAGUGUGUUCUCCCUCCCCUGGGCAUCCUAAGAGAACCAGCUCAUUAAAAGAGACUUGGCUGUAGCGUGGCCUGAGAAGAUACUGGCCAACUUUUCAUUCCCUGGUUGGACAGGACCAGCUUCCUGCAUGGGCAGGACCAGUUCGGUGCCACCCUCUUAGGGGAACAAAUCCAGACAAGAAAGCUUUUGUGUGUCCAGCUCUGCGGAAGCACAGCUAGGAGAGUGGCAGGGUCCCCAAGGCCAGGAGCCGGUCCCACCAAGGUGUGGCCAGGGCUGCCAGCACAGGUCUCCUCCCUUUUGGAGCCAGUCUCCCGGCAUCCCACACUAUUUUAAGGCCUUUGGAGAUCCAAACAGGAUUCAAGCCUUGCCCAGGACGGCCUGUAAAAGUUUUCCACUGGAACAAAGAUUUAAAUGCUGUAACUCAAAACAUGACUUUACAAUGGGCUCUGAUUAUCAAACGUUCCAGAAUAUCCUCUUUUGAGACACUGCUCCUUUCUCUUUCCUGUCAUUUACAGGCUGGCUGGCAUGAGGCACGUAGUCUGGACUGGGCAGACGUCUCCUCUGAAGACAUUGGAGGAAAGGGCCUUUUCCUCCUCAGCACUCAUCCUGAGAAAGGGAGAGGAAGGGGUGACUGUUCACACCUAGCAUAGAGAAAGACGUUCUCCUGAUGGCAGUGGCCGUGAUGCACACAUCUGCUCAAACCCUCCACUGGCUUCCUGCUCCUUCCGAAGAAAGCCAAAGGCCCUGUGUAGUGUGGACCCCGGCCUCUCUGACUUCACCUUCUACCCCCUUUACCUGCUCACUCCUCUCCAGCCAUUGGGACUUGGGUAUUCUCUAGUUCCCCUCCCUCCCGACUCAAUCCAUUGUCUGCUCUGUGCCAAGAAGCAGAUGCCUGUGGGCUCCAAGAACAGCUCCCCAGUGCACUGGCCAUCAACUGUGUUUAGCCAAUGGGAGGCACCAGCAGGAGGUCAGAGGGCAGAAGAAGGGAGAGUUCACAGCAGGAGUGACAGGUCCCUCUCCACAUGGCAGCGGCUGGGUACCCCACACUGCAGCCAAUCCUCCCCAGCCCUGGCAACACUGUACCACCCCCAUGAUCCAUGUUGGCUCCUUAACCUUCUCUGACACCUUCCCUAACACCUCUGUCCACAGUCUCUUCCUUAAACCUCCCUUCCUCAGCUGAGCCAUUAGACCCUGACUGAUGCACGGGCUCAUGACCCAUCUGGGUGUUUCGUAUGCCCUCUGCCUGCCUUAUUAUCUGGCUUCAAGUCCCAGCUCUUUUUUUAAUUAUUUUAUUUAUUUUUUUUUAUUUUUUUUUUCAUUUUUUUUUUAUUUUUUAUUUUUGAGAUAGGAUCUCACUCUCUCACCCAGGCUGGAGUGCAGUGGCACAAUCACGGCUCACUGCAGGCUUGACCUCCCAGGCUCAAGCCAUCCUUCCACUUCAGCCUUCUGGGCAGCUGGGACCACAAGUCUAUGCCACCAUGCCCGGCUAAUUUUUUUAUAAUUUUGGUAGAGGUAGGGUCUCCCUCUGUUGCCCAGGCUGGUCUCAAACUCCUCUCCUGAAGUGAUCCUAUUCCCCUUGGACUCCCAAAGUGCUGGAAUUACAGGCACGAGCCACUGCACCCAGCCCGCCUUUUAUUAUAUGGGUGACCUUGGGCCAAGUUAGUCAAUUUCUUGCCACAGCUCCUUCAUCUGUAAAAUGGGGUGAUGAUAAUAGGACAGUCACACGUUGCUUAAGGGUAGAGAUACAUUCUGAGAAAUGCGGCGUUAGGCAAUUUCGUUGUGCGAACAUUACAGAGGGAGUUUGUACAAAACUAGAUGACAGCCUACUCACUACACAUCUGGACUAUAUGGUACAGCCUACUGCUUCUAGGCUGCAGUCCUGAAUGGCAUGUUACUGUACUGAACAUCGGAGUCAACUUAAUACAAUGGUUGAAAGGUGUUGCAUGAAGCCUGCAGCCCGGCCAGAAAGACUUCAGCUGGAUGGAAGGCGAGCCCAUGGCCUCUUCUCUUGCAUGUGGUGUUCCCAGCCAGAGACCCAAGCGUCUAUCUCUACAGUCAGCCCACCCAUGGCCCUUCUCUGGGGACUAGGUGAUAAUUAUGGCUGAAGGGGCGUGGGGGUGUUUGUCAGUCAUGAACAAGAUUCCAAAGAGCGCUGCCACUUCCCAGACAAAUAACAGACCCUCAGGGGGCCUGGCUUAUGGUCCCAUGGGCUAGAAUCCAUAUCCUCAGGUGUGGGACAGGCCAGUGAAGUCCAACUGUAACCAGAACCACUCAUGUCCACUGCCCAUCACCUAGAGGAUUUCAUCACACCUGGCAUGGGUGUGAAAUGGGGAGUUUGAAAACAGAGAGCAGGUGGGGGACUCCCGGCCCAGCAGCCCCUCUCGGUGCAGUGCAGGCGCCAAGCGUGUGGACUCUGAAGCCAUAUGCCCAGGUAUGAAUCUAGGCUUUCUUGCUCGCUGACUGUGGGCCAAGUUUCUUAUUGUAAUACUCUGUGCCUCAGUCCUCUCCUCUGUAACAUGGAGACAACUGUGGAAACUAAAUGACGUAAUGCACUUAAAGCAGUGCCUGUAACACACUGUAAGCACUCUUUUACGUUCUUAUUUUAUUAUUAGCAGUCAGAGUUAUUGCCAUUACCUCCAGCCUCUGGAUCUGCCCAGUUCUGGCCAGCUCCAACAAGGACAUUCCAUUUUCUUCCACCAUGGAGGGGCUUCACUGCAGUCACUCCAAAAUUUAGACUACAUGGUUCAGCCUUGACCUAACCCUCUGCAGCCUGUAUACAAGCAUUUGCUCACCUUUCAUAGAAAAAAUAGCUAAUGCAUGCUGGGCUUAAUAACUAGGUGAUGGGUUGAUAGGUGCAGCAAACCACCAUGGCACACGUUUACCUAUGCAACAAAUCUGCACAUCCUGCACAUGUACCUCGGAAUGUAAAAUAAAAAUUAAAAUUAAUUUUAAAAAAAGAAUAUGUAUGAACCACCCACUGAGUGUCAGACAACACAGAGUUCAAGGACAAAGUCAGUUUCUUUUCUCUAGGGGAGGAGUCACACCAAAAUCAAAGAGCCAAAUAAUUUAAUAAAUUUUUUUUACAGACUAUGACUGGUGCCACAGUGAAAUUCAGCAGCAUCCAGUGAUGAGAAAUGGAGGUUAGGGAAUGAGUCUAUUAGAAGGGGUGGUCUGAGGAGGUGAUAUUGAAGUUAGGAUGAGAAUCAGCUUUUCAACAAGCUGGGGAAAAAGCAUUCUAGGAUCUGGGACCAGCAAGUGCAAAGGUCCUGUGGUGCCCAGGGAAGGGUGUCAGGGAACUGAUCAAAGACCAGGAUGUGGGGCUACAGAGGGAGGGACCACUUGAUGAGGCUGGAAGACACUAGUGUUCACAAAAUAACUCCGUGAAUACUAAACAAUCUUAGGCCUGCAUAGUCUAUCUAACAAAUGAAUUCUAUUUACCUCAUCCAAUUGUGUGUGAUUCCAACCUCUUCUUGACUACCUCUAGUGAUGGAGAACUCACUCACUGCAAUUUCAGAGAAUGCUCAUUCACUCGAUCAACAGGAACAGGCUGCUCAGGAUUUCAAAAAAGUCAGGAGAUACAAUGGGAAGCCUGGAGAUAGGGUUUUUGUGGAGGUUUUUUGUUUGUUUGUUUGUACUUUAAGUUCUGGGAUACAUGUACAGAACACGCAGGUUUGUUACAUAGAUAUGCGUGUGCCAUGGUGGUUUGCUGCACCCAUCAACCCAUCUUCUAGGUUUUAAGCCCCGCAUGCACUGGGUAUUUCUCCUAAUGCCAUCCCUCCCCUUGCCCCCCAUCCCCCAACAGGCCCCAGUGUGUGAUGUUCCCCUCCCUGUGUCCAUAUGUUCUCAUUGUUCAACUCCCACUUCUGAAUGAGAACAUGCUGUGUUUGGUUUUUCGUUCCUGUGUUAAUUUGCUGAGAAUGAUGGUUUCCAGCUUCAUCCAAGUCCCUGCAAAGGACAUGAAUGCAUUCUUUUUUAUGGCUGCAUAGUAUUCCAUGGUGUAUAUGUGCCACAUUUUCUUUAUCCAGUCUAUCAGUGAUGGGCAUUUGGGUUGGUUCCAGGUCUUUGCUAUUGUAAAAAGUGCUGCUAUAAACAUAUAUGUGCAUGUGUCUUUAUAGUAGAAUGAUUUAUAAUCUUUUGGGUAUAUACCCAGUAAUUGGAUUGCUGGGUCAAAUGGUAUUUCUGGUUCUAGAUCCUUGAGGAAUCACCCCACUGUCUUCCACAAUGGUUGAACUAAUUUACAUUCCCACCAACAGUGUAAAAGCGUCCCUAUUUCUCCACAUCCUCUCCAGCAUCUGUUGUUCCCUGACUUUUUAAUGAUCACCAUUCUAACUGGCAUGAGAUGGUAUCUCAUUGUGGUUUUGAUUGCAUUUCUCUAAUGACCAGUAAUGAUGAGUUGUUUUUUGUUUUCUGUUUUUCAUUUGUUUGUUGGCCAUAUAAAUGUCUUCUUUUGAGAAGUGUCUGUUCACAUCCUUUGCCCACUUUUUGAUGGGGUUUUUGUUUGUUUGUUUGUUUGUUUUUUCCCCUGUAAAUUUAAGUUCUUUGUAGAUUCUGAAUAUUAGCCAUUGGUCAGAUGGAUAGAUUGCAAAAAUUUUCUCCCAUUCUGUAGGUUCCUUGUUGACUCUGAUAGUAGUUUCUUUUGCUGUGCAGAAGCCCUUUAGUUUAAUUAGAUCCCAUUUGUCAAUUCUGGCUUUUGUUGCCAUUGCUUUUGGUGUUUUAGUCAUGAAGUCUUUGCCCAUGCCUAUGUCCUGAAUGGUGUUGCCUAGGUUUUCAUCUAGGGUUUUUAUGGUUUUAGGUCUUAUGUUUAAGCCUUUAAUCCAUCUUGAGUUAAUUUUUGUAUAAGGUAUAAGGAAGGGGUCCAGUUUCAGUUUUCUACAUAUGGCUAGCCGGUUUUCCUGACACCAUUAUUAAAUAGGGAAUUCUUUCCCCAUUGCUUGUUUUUGUCAGGUUUGUCAAAGUUCAGAUGGUUGUAGAUGUGUGGUAUUAUUUCUGAGGCCUCCAUUCUGUUCCAUUGGUCUAUAUCUCUGUUUUGGUACUAGUAUCAUGCUGUUUUGGCUACUGUAGCCUUGUGGUAUAGUUUGAAGUUUAAGGUUUUAAGCAGACUCAGUGAACUCUGCUAGUUAAUAAGUGUAGGUGAGGUUGUAAGCAGGCCACAGUGGAAGCAGAGGGCCCAAGUAGAAGAUAUUACCUAUGGGCAGGGAGGAACAAUGGUUCCUAUGGGAAGACUUUGCUUAAAGUGAGAUACAAGGUCGUCAACUUCAGUGUCACCUGUGAGCUUGUUAGAUCCAAUUCUCAGGCCUCAUCCUAAGUCUCUAGGGAGGGGUCCAGCUGUCUGGGUUUCAACAAGCCCUUCUGGUGAUUCUGACUACACUAAAAUUUGAAAAUCACUGGACUACAGGACUGAUAAUAUUAACUAGAAAACAAUGGUGUCCCCCAGGAAUGGCUUCAUAUCCCUCUGGAGCCAGGCAGAGCCAAUGCCCUCGGGCCAAGACAUUAAGAUCCAUAAGGCAGGCUUGUAAUCCCAGCACUUUGGGAGGCUGAGGCAGGUAGAUCGCUUGAGUCCAGGAGUUCAAGACCAGCCUGGGCAACAUGGUGAAACCUUGUCUCUACUAAAGAUACAAAAAUUAGCUGGGCAUCAUAGCAUGCACCUGUAGUCCCAACUACUCGGGUGGCUGAGGUGGGAGGAUUACUUAAGCCCAGGAAGCUGAGGUUGCAGUGAGAUUGUGCCACUGCACUCCAGCCUGGGCGACAGAGCAAGACCCUGUCUGGGAAAAAAAAAAAAAUCCAUAAAGCAGUUUUCAGAGAAGACUCUGUCCAUGGGAUUGAUGUUCACUUACCCCGGCUAGGACCGGGCGAGGCCAAGAUAGAGGGCAGGAGAGAGGAGCAGCUUCAACAUCUCUGCAGACACCAUCACUGCAGCCACAUUCCAGUUCCACAGAGGAAUGCAGACAAUCCUCACAAUCCCCAGGGCAGGGCAGGAGGUAGAGAGGAUUAUGAAAUGCCUGCUUGUUGACCAAAACCUACCUAGGGAAUCUCACCGAAUCCCUCAACAACCCAGAACAGUACUAUUCUGUUUACUCCCUUUGGCUCCAUAGGGCCCAACAGAUUAUGGCAAUCCAGAAAGGCUGAGACCAGAGCCCCAAGUGGCCAAGACAACAAGAAAGGAGCCAUAAUAGUGUUGCCCACUGUCCCCUCCUAUAUAUCUGGGGAGGUGGGGGGAGAUUCCUCUCAAAGGUUUCUUGUUUUGUUCCAGAAUGGUAAGAGAUACUACUGUUCAUUAAAUAACUCCAUGAAUAUCAGAUAAUCUCAGAGUUGGAUAACCUUUUACCCAAUACCUGAAUUCUAUUUACCUUAUCCAAUUGUGCAAGAAUUUUUUUUUUUUCUUUUGAAACAGAGUCUCACUCUGUCGCCCAGGCUGGAGUGGAGUGGUGCGAUCUCAGCUCACUGCAAGC
rnacentral:lncRNA from 10 species